rnacentral:siRNA from 1 species
UUAGCCAACGACACGUGCCUUU